UGUGGGGUGGCUUCACUUCAGGUAGGGACUGAACUCUGCUCUUCCCUGAGAAGCCCAGGAUGUCUCAUCGCGGCAGAUCUUCUGUGUUCUAAUUAGCACGGGACAUCGGCAGCUGGUGGUCACGUUGUGUGAUACCCGAGCCAGAAGCAGGUGGCUGAUGGCCAUCAAGGACAGAGAACUCUGUAAACAGCCUUUUAAAGGCUCCAGCCCUCCAGGAUCAGGCAGGAUGAUCUCACGUUUUCUGCCUCCUCUUUCAGGUCAGCCCUCAUUUAACUCCCACAGCUACUGAGUGCUACAGCCUGCCCACCUGGCUCACAUAGAGGCAGCGCCUUCCCCUUACUUUUGAACCCCUGGGGACCACGCUCUGUGGGAAAUGGGGUGGUCUCACUGGAUCAGGCCAAUCACAGCCUAGUCCUGGGGCUGGGGGCGGGGUCAGCCCCAAGGGCUGCUGGGUAGAGAGGCGGAGAAGGACCAGGUGAAAGGUUGCCUAACAUCCUCCCACUAGUACCCAAGGCAGGGAAGUCACACAGCUGUCCUCUUCUGCCAAAUGGGAGGAAUCGUGACACUCUUCCCACAGUUUUGCUGUGUUGUUCUGAGGCAGAAGGCUCAGCAAUCUGGGAGCCGAGCACGGUGGGUGGAGGGCCAGUGUGAUUAUUGCUGGGACUAUUUUAGUUCACUAAGAGUUGUUUUAUUUCCAUCAAGGGAAAGGAGAAUGCUGUCCCUUCAUCGUGAAACAGUUAUUGCAUGAAAUUAGUCUUUGUUAUACAAGUGUAUAUCCCCCUGUAAUGAAACUUGAACCAGGAGCACAGAGUCAAGUCUCUGCUGGUUGGGUGGGCGCCCUGCGCAAGGCUGUUUCUGCGCUCUCCACCAUCUGAGUAGUCACUCCGACAAAACACGUAAAUACUGAUGUCUUCAACCAAUGUCCAACAACUUCCCACUGGGUUCCCGGCUCAGUGUCCGGAGCAGAGCAUCUGUGGGGUGACCCUAAGGAAGGUAAGCGAUGAGGAUCUGGGGGUAGGAGACCAGUCAGGGAGGCCACCAGGGAUUUCGGCAGAGAUAGUGUGAGGAGGGCGUCAGGGUGGGACUGGUUUCCUGCAGGGUCAGCGGGAGCCAAAGUCUGAACCAGAACAGGUCAAGACAUGGCUGUGGAUGGUGUGAAGUGUGUGUGUGGGGGUGUAUAUGGGAAGCAACAGGUGUUGGGGUUCAGAGCACACCCCACAGGCAAGAGCAGUAGCUGGACUCAAGAGGCUUUUGGACAGCCUAUAUGUGUCUAAAAUUGCAUCUGAAUGUGUCUCACACACACGGGCAGCCUGACUCUCAGGGGCCUCGCUCUGCGCUCACAGGUCUCUGGCGCGCAUGCGUGCAUAUUGAUCUCCCAUUCCGGACUUUGCAGUUCCCACAGGCAGGGCUGUGGACUCUGUUCAGGUUGUACAAUAUUGAUUUCACAGCAAAGGGACUGUGAUUUUACGCUCCUUGAUCGAAAUAAAGCGUCAGGUGCCUUACUUAAUACCCACAGCAGAUGCGGGUCAGGAGCGGCUGUGACUGUGACUGGAAAAAGGAUUUGUCUGUCCUCCCUUACCUGGGUUAGUGAAGGUGCUGGUCCCAAACCAUUGAAGGGACAUUGCCUGAUAACACACCUCACAGCUCCUUAGACCAGGCUUACAGAUGGACCUACAGACCGAUAUUACACAGAGCCUGCAUCUGCUCAGGAAAACCACCGGACCCCUCUCUACCUUACACAGCACCGGGAGGGAGGGGGCGUGGCCAGAGCAGGGGUGAGGCCAGGAUGAGGAGGACAAGCUCUGUUUCAGAGACUAGACUUCAUUGGAGGGUACAGUAGAAGUGGCAUUGGGGACUGAAGGGGACAGGUUGAUUUGGGCGCCCUCAGCUCGAAGAGGAAGAAAAGCAGGAAGAAGCAAGGCAAGCUGGAAGAAGGACAGGGUAGGGGCCCAGGGCAGCGAGGCUCGAGGAGGGGGAGGGGUCAUGAGGACAUAUGCUGAGUCUGCAGAAGCUCAGUUGCAGGUGAGAGUUUCACCACAAAGAGUCCGAAUACUUUUCACCUGUAUUUUCAUUAACUUAGUGAUCGCACCCGUGCAUGCGCACUCACACACGCGCACACACACACGCGCGCACACACACACGUGCACAUGCACGAUGUGACAGGAAGUUAGUGGGAGUCAAUUUUCUCCUUCUAGCGUCUGAGUCCCCGGGUUGAGUUUAGUUCAGUCUAGGCAGCAAGCACCCUUAUACCCAACGGGCUACCUUUCAUUGUGGUUUUAACCAAACACACCAACACAUGCCUUUGAACCCAUGGCUGAGAAGAAGGCUCAAGCUUGGAGACUCGCUCUUCUGCCCGUGAGGGUCUGUCCUCUGCCCGUGAGGGUCUGUCCUGUUGUGUGAGCAUAGCCUGUGAACAAAUGCCACGCCCACCGACCAGGACAAGCAAGAGGCAUGCCAGGUCAAGACAGACGGAACAGUCUCUUUGAUGGCAUUCUGGUCCUGCUUUAUGAUAUAUGGCCCACACAUUUUCAUUUAUACAGAUCCAAAAACCAGUCAGCUGCAGCGGCCCGUGGAACUGUCAACUCUCAAACACACUGUCCACCCCUCCACAGCGAGGCAGAACUGUUAGUUCCAUCCCGCCCAUCUCCCUGUGCCCGUGCACCCCCGGGUCCACUGUAUCCAGGCAGCAGCUAGGCGGCAGUCCCCCAAGCCUUUCUCCCUUCCCUUUACUGCUCAGCAAAUCCUGCAGGGAUGGUAGCACCAGGACCCUCUUCUCUUCCACCACCAGCUCAGGCCUCCGGUCUCACUGCUGGUCUUCCACACCAGCCUUCGCUGCAUACCCAACCUCUUCUCAGAAAGUUAGACCCGUUAACGUGACCGGACCAUGUUCUAUCUCUGCUCACAGUCUCAAGGCUCCCAUUAGCCAAGUCCUCCUGGGUCUGAGUGUUUGUUGUCUGAUCCUUGUGAUCUAUCACCUGUCACCUCUCAGGGGUCACCCCCUAACACACACACACACACACACACACACACACACACACACACUAUCCUCUACCACUGAACCAUAGCCACGCAGGUCUCAAGCUCAACUCUCUCUAUCCCUCUCAAAAUGGUGCCCUGCCACCUUCUGCCCCCACAACCCCACAACCCAGACUGCUUUCCAGCUUCUCCCACUUUGUCUGCAAAGCCAUCUGGGCUGCAAGGUUACUUUGGGAAUCCAUCCAGUGCUCCUCUCCUCCUGUUCUGCAUCUUCAUCCACAGCAGCAUCCAUUCAUCUGCAACGGACCCACGAGUGGGUCUGUCACUGUCCUUAAACCCUACAUCAGUGCCAGAACGACAGGGCUCAGAAUGCCCGAGCAGUGCCCCUCACAUGAUUGACUGAAAUUUGUCCCAAAUGAGUAUUGCUGCUUCUCUGUGUGUUGUACGUGUGAAUGUGCACAUGCAUGUGCGGGCACAGCAUGUGGAGGCUGGAGGUCAACACCAAGUGCCUCCCACCAUGGCUUGAUUUUGAGACAGGGUCUCUCACUGGACUGGAGCACCCUGAUUUGGCUAGACUGAUUGCCAGUGAGCCUCAGGGACCCUCCUGUCUCUGCCUUCCCUGAUGGCACAUGCAACUUUUAUGGAGGUGCUGGAAUUCCAAACUCAGGUCCUGCUGUUCAUGCAGCCGUGUCCCCAGACCCUGUUCUGUGGUAUGCAUGAAUGAGAAAAUCACAGGCCAAAGUGUUCUCGGCAGGAGGAGUAGAGAUGGGAUAUGCGGCAGAGCAAGAUUUAGCUUUAUGAAAACACGCAGGGAUAACUACAGAGUGCUACGAUUGUACAGUACCUCUGCAGUUUAAAAUUUCACGAGGGUCAAGGAAGAAGAAAAUGCUGAACGCCUUCCUUCCAGGGUGAUGCAGAAACAAGGGCGGGGAAGCAAGGGAUUAGUAGAAACGAACAGACACGAAAGCCUGUUAUCCCACCGUUGCUGGGAGGUAGGAGACAAAUCAAGAUAUUCAAACACAUGUAAGACAGCCACAGUGUCUUCCCGCUGGAGGAGAGAAUAGAAGAAAUGGCUCAGCGCUCUGAGGAAACAUCUUCUCAGACUUACAAAGGAUGGUAUUUACAUUUUCUCCAAGCCUUUAAUUUUCUCAUUUAUCAUUUGUCAGAGCCCGAGGCCCUUCCUUAGCACAUGGUGUUUGCCAGCAGCUAAUGAUCCCUUUACCAAACAUCACAGUCCAGCCAGGAGCUUGUUAAUGUUGCUAGGGCUGAUGAUUUAAUGCUUCACUGUCACGGGCAGGUCUCUGGACCCUGGAUCACAGGAAUGCUGUGACUCUGGGGCUCUGUGCUUCCUGGAGGCCCCACUGUCACCAGGGAACCAUGGAAACCAAUCCAGUCCCAGAUAUGGAGAAAGCUGAGCACUGAGGUUGGCUUUGGAAGCCAGGCAUGGACUUCUAGAACUCCAUCCAGUGGUCACAGACUGGACGCCAUCUUGCUGCCCCACAGAUCUCCCUGCAGCUGUGAUCUCCUUGUAGUGACAUCAUCCAGGACCUUGCUGAACCUCCCCGGGGUGUCUCUUAUGGCUCUGGUGAGCACAUGAGACCCAGGUUGAUACCAUUCUGGCUUUCCAGCCGAGAAGCAUGACCUUGGGAGACGCCUGAGGUCACAUGGGUGACGGAGGAGAUGGCGGACUCUGACCUGUACAGAUUUCUAGGUUGACGUGAAAACAUCAGAUGCCAGGCAAGCCAAGCUCCAAGUCAAUGCAUUCCAGACUAUCCUCAGGAAGCCUGACAGCCUGAGAAGACUGAGUUCCUUACAAUCCGGCAGAGGGGUCACAAACAGGUCAUUUCCCUUUUCCAUUGUUGGGGACGCUGGAGUCAAGAUGAUAACAUCUGGCCUGCACCUGGUUCACUAGACUGGGCUUCUUGGGAAUGUGCUGGGAUCCCAGGGAUACACAGGGCUUCGAGCUAUGACCUACUCCAGAUGUCAUAGAUGCUCACAGUGACCCCUGACCUCAGGAAGGCAGUGGGCUUUGGCAGAAACUAGAAGCCAGAGCAGGUCAGAAUCCUGCCCCCCUAUGAGGAACAAUGAAAAGUUGUGUGUGAAUGCAGCUGGGGAGAAGUGGGGAUUCGGGAGCUUAAUUACAGGGUCUCUGUGUGACACAGGUCACAGUAAGCAAAAGUCAGGGGUUAACAGUGAGGAAAAUCCAGGGGUUGACCCUUGGAGGUCAGACUGUAGCCUUGCACAGGGCCUUGGAAUAAGUAUCAACAUGCUAAGAACAUUAACCAUGGAGGGCGCAAAGCCCAUUCCUUGGGCAGCCAAGGGCAUCUGUGAGCAUCUUGUGCUGGGUUCCCUGUGCCUGGAGGGGAACUUUAGGAAGAGGACUCUGUAGGAGAAGACCACCAUGAUUUCUGCACUGCUGGUCAUUCAUGAGUGUUUUCUGUACAGACGUUUGGUGUCUCCUACCUGCUGCUGUGUUAGCUUUGCUGUCCUGAGACCUGGUCUGGUGUUCCCGAGGUAAUGGGUGUGGAUAGGGAAGGAGCUGGGGUCUUGGGGGAGCUCUAAGGACACAGGGCUUGUUGGCUCUUGCCCUGAAGCACCGUCUCUAGAGAUACAGAGGCCGGUGGAGCCUGCACUGACGUUUUCUCACGAGUUCUCGGCUAAACCCAAGCCUGUGUCACCGAAAGCUUCUGUUCACGAUGGCCCUACCUUAUGUGUUACCUUGCUGAAAUCACAGCUUUGAUUCUUUCCCUACAUAAACUACAUAAGUAACUAUUAAAAUAUUAUUAAAUUACUAAUAAAAUAAAAAAUAGGCCCCUUGUAUUCAUUGAUAUAUAAUGUUGCCCAGGGAGCCUCAAUACCAACAGUGCAGAAGGGCAGAGGCUACCCCUUUCUCUCUGACACUGUCACCUUCUCUGACACAGGAAGUCCUGCCCGCGGGUAGCCGGAUGGUGUAUGCGUCAAGCUAGCAUGUCUUUCUCUGCAGAGCUGGGCAAGCAUUAGGGCUAAGACUUUUCUCGUGUAGCUUUUCUCUAUCCCAGGUAAUAGUUCCCUCGCAAACUUGUUGACAGUUCUUCCCAAACCCGUUCAUGGUUUUGUCAACUGCCGUCUUGUCUAGCUGUGUUGACUGUGACUCAGUAGAAGAAAUCCAUUUUCUAGAGGGGGCUGCAUGGCAAAAGAGCCUAGCUCCCCAUCUUGGGUACCCCCAAGGGAUAUUUGGUCUUCGUCACGUUUAUGUUUAGUGUGAUAAAACACCAUGACUUAAGCUACUUAUAGAGUAAAGAAUUUCACAUUUCCAGAGGGUUGGAGUUCAUAAUGGUGGAGUGCAUAAUGGUUUGUAAUGGCAGCAAGCUCCAGGCAGUAGGAACAGGAAGCAAAGAACUCACAUCUUGAACCUGAAGUAGAGAGGGCGAACUGGAAAUGCUGGAGGCAUUUAAAUCUCAAAGCCUGCACCCAGAGACAUACAAGGCUGUUUGUACCAUGUGAACCUCCCAAGCGAUGCCACCAUUUGGGGACCAAGGGUUCAACUGCCCAAGACAGUGGGGAUAUUUCUUAUUCAAAUCACUACAAAACACACACACAUGCAUACACACAUACACACACACGUGCACACACACACGCAUACACACAUACACAGACAUGCACACACACACAUACACAUGCACACACAUACACAUACGCACACACACGCGCACACGCAUGUACAUAUGUCUACAAGAAUGGAGCCCAGCAAAUGUGCAUUCAAACACGAGCACACCCCAUGCACACGGAUAUAAAACGUAAUAAAACAACUCUCCCCUUCACUUCGAAUGCUGCCUUUGAACAUUGUCUUAGGGUUUCCGUUACUAUGAAGAGACACCAUGGCCACAGUGACUCUUACAAAAGAGAGCCUUUCACUGGGGCCCACUACAGUUACAGAGAUUUAGUCCAUUACCGUUAUGGCGGCAAACACGUCGGCAUGCAGGCAGACAAGGUGCUAGAGGAGCAGUUGAGAGUUCCACAUCUUAUCCGAGACUGCGUGCCACGCUGGGUGUAGCUUGAGCAUAGGAGACAUCAAAGUCCGCCCCACCUCCACAGUGACACACUUCCUCCAACAAGGUCACACCUCCUACUAGUGUCACUCCUAACGGCCAAGCAUUCCAACGCAUGCAUCUGUGGCGGCCAUUCCUAUUCAAAUCACCACAGAUGUUUUCCAUCCAAUCCUAGUACUUCAUUUUAUAAGAUGCUGGUUGUGGGCACCGACUGAGUUUAGCUUGGGAAGCUGGCCCUGCCUCACUGCAGCGUUGGCUCACAGCUCCCUGGUCUCCGUUGCUCUGUCUUGCCACCAGCUAGCUGGGCACUCCUCUUUGUUUCUGUCGCUCUGCUUUUUGAUUCCGAUCAUGUCUUGGACCACGCGCCAUUACUUCCAUUUGCUGUUUUACGGACGAACAUCUUAAACAACUCUACCAUGCAUUCCUCCGCUAUUUUUGCAGUAACAGAAAAAAAUCAAAGUGGGAAGAAAUGGUUAGGAAGAAAGGCAGGAAGGCAGUGGGAGAGCGAGGGCUAUUUGGAUUUUCACACAGGCCUGGUUCUACAGGGACCCAGCAGAGGCUGAUGGGUAGUCAUGUCCAGCUGUGUGUAACUGUGUGUACCCCAGAGAUGGCCUGGUGAUGGAUGGGAAUGUGCACCCAGGCUCAAAAUCAGAGUCUCUCUCUGGCUUCUGUUUUGGUUCAAAUGUGAAAUAUCCCUUGUAGGUUCUCGUGCAGAAUGUUUGAUCCCCCGCUGGUGACGCUGUUUUAGGAGGCGGAGCCUAGUGGGAGGGGGUAGGUGUCUGGGAGCCUGACUUUGAUGGAAUAUAUCUUUUUCUUGGCCCCACCUUUUUGUUCUCUGCUUCCUGCUUCCUGUUCGCCACAAUGUGAAGAAGUUUCUUGUUCCACAGCCUGGCUGCCACAGCCGCCCCUGCUAAGGUUCAGCGCAAGCCCACGGAGCCAAACAGCUCUCUCAGACUGAGUCAGUAUAAAUCUGUCCUGCCUUAGAUGAUGCUGCCAGACUCUGUCAGCAAUGCAAAAACAACUGAUGUAAUUCUCCUGACCUCUCAGGGAAUGACAAGCCUGUUUGGGAUCCAUCACGUGCCCUUUAGGAAACAUGGCUGCAUGAAUCUGUGACCUCUUCUACCCACCAGCUGAGCACCCCAUCUCCAAUAUGAAAAUAAAACCAGGCAUUGCCAAGUGUCCUCUGGAUGCCAAAGUGACACUGUAGGGACCACUGCUGUCAAGGUGGCUGGCCUGUGCAGGUGGCACCACGCGAUGUCAGUGCCCUUCUGUGUCACACAGAGAACUUCAGCCACCAAUCUCAGUGUCCAGGAAUUGUUCCCUAGAAGCUGCCCCUCAACGGUUGGGUCAUGUGAGAGCCAGAGCUUCAUUCAGCAGCAGCCUCAGGCCUCUAGGUCACCCCUCCACAGCUCCACACCGGUGGUGAGAAUGGCAAAGCCCGUGGUGUCCUGGACUGCACCUGCCCACGCUUAAUAGACUCACAGAAAAGCAAAGGAAAAAUAAGCUUUGACUCACAGAGUUGGUAUCGUGAUGGGUGUCUGUGACACGUGGGCGCACGCUGCCAGUCCUCCUUCAGCAUCCAUGUCUGACACAGUGGCUUUGGAAACUGGAAACAGUGCACGCAGAUGCUCCAGGGACAACUGACUGGCCACUGAUGGAGAUUGGGUCAUAACAAAAGUCCAGAACAUAUGAGGACCUUGUCCUGCGGACGGAAGUGGCUAUUCCCUACACAGCUGUACCUGCCCUUGGCUCUGGCUUAGGCCUAUCCUUGUCCGUGACACAAUUGACACCACCUUCAGCCGACCUACUGAGUCUGCCUGGAGGACAUGGGCAGAGAGACCAAAGCUUUGGCUGCAGUGAAGGACUUUCAACUUCAGACUAAAUACAGCCAAAAUACAAAGGCCCCUGUGCCCGUGAGCCAGGGCCCUGGAGUAUCUGCCAGCUCGCUCCUGUGAGAGCUGCAUCUGAGCGUGUCCAGAUGUUGUCCCCGCAGUUCAUGCAUUUGUCUUGGCAAUAGCUCCACAUGUGUGCCUUCCCACGGGGUCGGUCCAUGCUCCUCUGGUCUGUGUUUCUAAGUAUGUUUGCUUUGCCUUCCUCUCAUCAGACCACCAAGGCCCAUUUUUGUCCGCUAUGGAGAAAGCCCUCGAGGAUAUCAGCACAUUGGCUCAUAUAGCCUACAUCCUAAUAAAGAAGUAGCUGUUUGUCAAACAA